rnacentral:tRNA from 1 species
GGACCAUGUAGCGCAGUGGUUGACGCGCCCUCCCCUCGGGAGGGAGGACGCCGGUUCGAGUCCGGCCUGGUCCG